UCGCACAAUCGAUAACUCCACCGAUACAAAAUAGCUGCUUUACGACAGAAGAAACGCAUCUUUAAUAGAAAAACAAAGCAGCUGCCGCGCAAUUGAAAAUUGCGCUAAACAAAAGGAAAUACGAAAAAAAACUAUUGACGACGGGCCCAGUUGGACCCCGGUGUACCCACCCUGCCUGAGAUGGCCACAUCGGCGCCAUCUCCCUUGCGUUGGUCACUAUAUCAGUGGCUGCUCCUCAUCCUGCGUAGCGCUGUGGAAUUCCCCUCCCCACCAUGCUGAGAAGACUCACACAACCAUGUUCAAUUUAAUAAACAAAGUA